UACGUAGGGAGCAAGCGUUGUCCGGAAUCAUUGGGCGUAAAGCGCGCGUAGGUGGCUUCGUAAGUCCGCUGUGAAAGUCAAAGGCUCAACCUUUGAAAGCCGGUGGAUACUGUGAAGCUAGAGUACGGAAGAGGCGAGUGGAAUUCCUGGUGUAGCGGUGGAAUGCGCAGAUAUCAGGAGGAACACCAAUAGCGAAGGCAGCUCGCUGGGACGUUACUGACACUGAGGCGCGAAAGCGUGGGGAGCGAACAGG
rnacentral:rRNA from 1 species